AGUGUCCUGAAAUGUGCGUUGUAUUACCUAACUUUUGACCAACAUUAUUUCUUCGGGAGUCUUUAGUUUCCUGGUUGCGUAAAUGCCCCAACCUAUACGGUAAAAGGGACUUACAAAUACCAAGAACAGGACACCCACCUGCUCAGAUGCGGGAUCAAAAGAAGGAACUAAGAGCGACGGCAUCAUUGGGACCCUU
rnacentral:other from 1 species